AAAAUUUGAUUGGGUGUAACUUCUAAUAGAAAAAAAAAAAAAAAUUGGUGCAGUAUCUAUAGAAAAAGUUAAUAUAGAAGUCAAGAUCUGCCUCAUUUAGAAUUUUAGUUUUUUCGUGCUUAUUUUCACUAAUCAUGUUUAUGUUAGGAAGAUUGAGCAUUGUUUGAACUACAAAAAGAAACUGAUUUGGAUUGUACAAGAAUUGAACUAACCAGAAUAAAUAGAGGAUAUAUAUCUUAAUUUAUUGUUGAUCAGUGAAAGAAAAAGUGAUCAAGACCUUAGUUUUUAAAAAUUUUUUAUUUUUACUAUUUUUUUCUUUGACGAUGCCAC
rnacentral:lncRNA from 1 species